GUUAUUGGGUUAUUGUGAAUAUUAAGGGAUUUUGGGGGGUUAUUGGGAUUUUUUAUUUUAUGUUUUUUCCCAUAACCUAAUUUUGACUCUCUUUUCCAAAAAAAAAAAAUUCUGUCGUCUAUUCUUCUCCCUCUCCUCUUGCCGAAAUUCUCUGAGUUUUUCCAUCUUUCUCUUCUUUUUCUUCUUCUUGAUUUUUCCUUAAUCUAUUUAUUUUCCUUCAUUUUCGCAUGCGGUUAGUGCCCAUUUAGUUUCGAUAAGUGUUUC
rnacentral:lncRNA from 1 species